AACGCACCUUGCGCCCUUUGGCUAUUCCGAAGGGCAUGCCUGUUUGAGUAUCAUGAACAUCUCAACUCUCAUGGCUUGCCGUGAUGAGCUUGGACUUUGGGGGUCUUGCUGGCCUGUGGUCAGCUCCUCUCAAAUGAAUUAGCCUGCCGGUGUUUGGUGGGAUCACAGGUGUGAUAACUAUCUACGCUUGUGGUUUUCCACCAGGUAACCCUCAGCAAUGGAGGUUCACCGGAGCUUAUAAAUGUCUCUCCCCAGCGAGGACAGAUUUUGACCAUUUGAUCUCAAAUCAGGUAGGACUACCCGCUGAACUUAA
rnacentral:misc_RNA from 1 species